AACCCAUGGUGAGGGCACCUUCUCAAUAGGUCCUUGUAUCUCUUCCAUGCAUCAUAGAGUGUCUCUAGAUCCAUCUGCACAAAAGAAGAGAUGUCAUUCCUUAACUU
rnacentral:snoRNA from 1 species